ACAGACCCGCCCCGGCAGCCUGGCCCACCCCAAAUCAUGUGUGUGUGUUGGGGGGUGGGGGCUAGUGGGGCAGAGGAUAGGCAGGCUAGAAGAGCCAACUCCUACAGCUGCGAUCCGGGAGGUGCCUGAAACUGUUGCCCCCUGGCUUCUAUCGCCCCCAUGGAGGCAAACAAAUCUGGGACAGGGAAUGGGUCUGGGAGAGAAGAUGAAAAGACUGAGGAUCAGAGAGGUGAGCAGUAGCUUUCCCAAGGGCCGAGAGCCAAGAAGCGUUGAAGCUUAAAAGCACGCCGCAGCAGGGAAGAUCAAGCAAGCCCUGCGCCUAUCUGCAGAUUCAACAUCAUACAUGUCAGGAGCACGGUUUUGGAUGUGACCCCAUUCCAGCCCCCUAGAGCCGGCAGAGAAGGACCACCCACUUCCAGCACGGCCAGGUCUGCAGUUCAGUCCUGGAGCCAGGGAAGGCUGUAUACACUCCCUGAAAGAUGAAACAACCCCAUACCUCUCACCUCCUAUGCUGGCUCCAUUCUCAGUGCCUCAGACCAGAGCUGGGCCUGGUGAGGGCAUCCUGAAGGAGGAUGGGCCUGCCUGAGAGAGGAUAGAGGGACGGAGUUUGGAACACACUGGGUGGGUACAACCUGGCUGCCGGAACGGUGAGGCUCGGGCAGGGGGAGAUGGUGGCCUCAUUGCCACAGAAGAGGCCUCGAGCCAUGCUGAGUGAGGCAGGUAGGGCAUGGGAGCUGGGAAGUAGUGGGGGCCACUUGAGGUGCAGGGAGCUAGGAGGGAGGCAGCACAGGGGAGGCCAGGCUGGGCUCAGGGCUGAGCGGUAAUUAAAGGAGACGUAGGGGGCUCCCCAGGGCCAGCGGGGCUGGUAACUGACACGCGGGCCCCAUUGCUCCGCUCAUAUUUCUCGCUGGAUCGAUACGUUUGACUCCCGACAAGACAAUAAUCGCUUGUACGCGGCCGGCGAGUCGAUCAAAUACAUUAUUAGAGCGAGGUCCCCCGGGGGCCCAGCGGGGAGUGGUGGGGGGGAGCAGCCAGCCCACCGGGGACAGCAGAGCGAGAUUCUUCACCCCUCAGGGCCCCCCAGCCGUGGCCUCUUCCUCUUGGCCACCCCUGGGGAUCCUCUCUGUGGCUCAGUUCCCCAGCCUCUCUCUAAAUGCCUGCUGCUUUGGCGAUCUCUCUACUCAGCCCCCAGCAUCAUCCUUGCUCUGUGAGGGGACCCAAGGGUUCUUUCUCCAUAGGCACUGCCCUCAUCUGUAGGGCUAUAGCAUGUAGGAGCUCAGAGAGGCCCCUCAGACCCCUAGCUUGUCAGGAGACAGAGAGACCAAGCCUCAGGCCACACUCCGAGUCCAUGGCUGGGCCAGGAGAUGAACUUGGGCCCAAAACUCAAUGACACCCACCUCCCUCUGCCCAGUCUCCUUGCUGCAUCUAAGCACAUAGAGCUUCAGCAGCACCCAGGCCAGGGGCAACCUCUGGGGGUUAGGGAAAGCUAACUUAGAGACCCAAACAAGCAGGAAAACAGGAUGACAGGGGUGGCAGACAAACACAUACACAAAGAGAUGUGUGUCUGCUCCUGCUGCAGGGCCAUCUGGUCCCCCAGGGGGCCUCAGAUACCCUCAAACCAUGCCCAGCUUCAGCUCUGGCCCACCCUAGACACUGCUUGCCACUCUUGCCCACUUUCCUGGCUUCUGGACUCAAGCCUGUUUCCCCUUUAUUAAAAAAUUAAAUUAAGCUUUAGCUUUACUUUUAAAGUCCAGGCUCUUUUUUUUUCUUUUUUUUUUUUUUUUGAGACAGAGUCUCACUCUGUUGCCCAGGCUAGAGUGCAAUGGCACGAUCCCAGAUCACUGCAACCUCCACCUCCUGGGUUCAGGCAAGUCUCAUGCCUCCUCAGCCUCCCGAGUAGCCGCGAUUACAUAUGCGCACCACUAGGCCAAGCUAAUUUUUGUAUUUUUAGGAGAGAUGGGGUUUUACCAUGUUGGCCAAACUGGUCUCAAACUCCUGAGAUCAUGUGAUCCACCCACCUUGGCCUCCCAAAGUGGUGGGAUUACAGACAUGAGCCACCACACCCAGCCUCAAGCCUAUUUUCUGUUUACACACCUGCUUUGCCCUCGACCUGAAGAGCCCCUUGGCUUCUCCAGCAGCCCUAAGUCAAAGUCAAGUUCUGUUUAGGAAUAUCCAGCAUUCCGAGACUUAAAAUAUAUCUUCCUCUUUGUCUUCAUUAUGAGCAGCAGCCGCCACCACAGCAUUGCUGUCUAUGCUUUCCUUUUU